AUACGUAGGGAGCGAGCGUUGUCCGGAUUUAUUGGGCGUAAAGCGAGCGCAGGCGGUUUCUUAAGUCUGAUGUGAAAGCCCCCGGCUCAACCGGGGAGGGGCAUUGGAAACUGGGAGACUUGAGUGCAGAAGAGGAGAGUGGAAUUCCAUGGGUAGCGGUGAAAUGCGUAGAUAUAUGGAGGAACACCAGUGGCGAAGGCGACUCUCUGGUCUGUAACUGACGCUGAGGCUCGAAAGCGUGGGGAGCAAACAGGAUUAGAUACCCUGGUAGUCCACGCCGUAAACGAUGAGUGCUAAGUGUUGGAGGGUUUCCGCCCUUCAGUGCUGCAGCUAACGCAUUAAGCACUCCGCCUGGGGAGUACGACCGCAAGGUUGAAACUCAAAUGAAUUGACGGGG
rnacentral:rRNA from 1 species